AUUGAACGCUGGCGGCAGGCCUAACACAUGCAAGUCGAGCGGAUGAAGGGAGCUUGCUCCUGGAUUCAGCGGCGGACGGGUGAGUAAUGCCUAGGAAUCUGCCUGGUAGCGGGGGAUAACGUCCGGAAACGGGCGCUAAUACCGCAUACGUCCUGAGGGAGAAAGUGGGGGAUCUUCGGACCUCACGCUAUCAGAUGAGCCUAGGUCGGUUUAGCUAGUUGGUGGGGUAAAGGCCUACCAAGGCGACGAUCCGUAACUGGUCUGAGAGGAUGAUCAGUCACCCUGGAACUGAGACACGGUCCAGACUCCUACGGGAGGCAGCAGUGGGGAAUAUUGGACAAUGGGCGAAAGCCUGAUCCAGCCAUGCCGCGUGUGUGAAGAAGGUCUUCGGAUUGUAAAGCACUUUAAGUUGGGAGGAAGGGCAGUAAGUUAAUACCUUGCUGUUUUGACGUUACCAACAGAAUAAGCACCGGCUAACUUCGUG
rnacentral:rRNA from 1 species